rnacentral:rRNA from 1 species
AUUGAACGCUGGCGGCAGGCCUAACACAUGCAAGUCGAGCGGAUGAAGGGAGCUUGCUCCUGGAUUCAGCGGCGGACGGGUGAGUAAUGCCUAGGAAUCUGCCUGGUAGUGGGGGAUAACGUCCGGAAACGGGCGCUAAUACCGCAUACGUCCUGAGGGAGAAAGUGGGGGAUCUUCGGACCUCACGCUAUCAGAUGAGCCUAGGUCGGAUUAGCUAGUUGGUGGGGUAAAGGCCUACCAAGGCGACGAUCCGUAACUGGUCUGAGAGGAUGAUCAGUCAGACUGGAAGUGAGACAGGGUCCAGACACCUACGGGAGGAAGCAGUGGGGAAUUUUGGACAAUGGGCGAGAGCCUGAUACAGCCAUGCCGCGUGUGUGAAGAAGGUCUUCGGAUUGUAAAGCAAUUUAAGUUGGGGGGAAGGGCAGUAAGUUAAUACCUGGCUGUUAUGACGUUACCAACAGAAUAAGCACCGGCUAACUUCGUG